rnacentral:misc_RNA from 1 species
ACAAACAAAAGGAUUUCCAAAGAAACCCCAUGCCCAAAUUAGGUUCCAUAUCCAAGAUACCAAGCAACUCUCAAUAGGCCAUACACCAGAUGAAUCAUCACAGAGUAUGGACCAAAGAGGCCGCUUCGAUGUCCGUUAACGCUGCAAGCAACGUAUGACGAAAGUGAUCUUAGUAUAAUACAAACAAUGCCAUCGAUUAGGUAUGCAACACAGGAACCCGUUCAAUGCUGAAGGCAAAAAUGCCUUCUAGCACAACUGAAGAGGUAAGAACCGAUGGAAGUUGCUGCACAAGCAGACAUCCAACCACCCGUAACAAACCAAACACAACUCAUGCACCUUUAGGGUAGACAUCCCCGAGGAUCGCCAGACUUACAGCCACCUCCUUGGCAUCAUAGCC